rnacentral:rRNA from 1 species
AGUGAACGCUGGCGGCGUGCUUAACACAUGCAAGUCGAACGAGAACGGAUUAUAGCUUGCUAUAAUUGUCAGCUAAGUGGCGCACGGGUGAGUAAUGUAUAGGUAAUAUGCCUCUUACUAAGGGAUAACAAAUGGAAACGUUUGCUAAUACCUUAUACUCCUUAUUAACAGAAGUUAAGAAGGGAAAGAUUUAUUGGUAAGAGAUUAGCCUGUAUUGUAUCAGUUAGUUGGUGGGGUAAUGGCUUACCAAGACUAUGACACAUAACUGGUUUGAGAAGAUGAUCAGUCACACUGGAACUGAUACACGGUCCAGACUCCUACGGGAGGCAGCAGUGGGGAAUAUUGCACAAUGGACGAAAGUCUGAUGCAGCAACGCCGCGUGGAGGAUGACACAUUUCGGUGCGUAAACUCCUUUUAUAUGAGAAGAUAAUGACGGUAUUAUAUGAAUAAGCACCGGCUAACUCCGUGCCAGCAGCCGCGGUAACAC